CGUCCGUUCGUCCGUCCGUCUGUUCGUCCGUUCGUUCGUCCGUCUGUCCCGCUUCAGGUUAAAGUUUUUGGUCAAGGUAGUUUUUGAUGAAGUUGAAGUCCAAUCAACUUGAAACUUAGUAUACAUGUGCCCUAUGAUAUGAUCUUUCUAAUUUAAAUGCCAAAUUAGAGUUUUGACCCCAAUUUUACGGUUCACUGAACAUAGAAAAUGAUAGUGCAAAUUUCAGGUAAAAG
rnacentral:lncRNA from 1 species